rnacentral:rRNA from 1 species
UACGUAGGGUGCAAGCGUUGUCCGGAAUUAUUGGGCGUAAAGAGCUCGUAGGCGGUUCGUCGCGUCGGCUGUGAAAACCCGGAGCUCAACUCCGGGCCUGCAGUCGAUACGGGCGGACUGGAGUGUUGCAGGGGAGACUGGAAUUCCUGGUGUAGCGGUGAAAUGCGCAGAUAUCAGGAGGAACACCGGUGGCGAAGGCGGGUCUCUGGGCAACUACUGACGCUGAGACGCGAAAGCGUGGGGAGCAAACAGG